CCUACGGGUGGCUGCAGUGGGGAAUAUUGCACAAUGGGCGCAAGCCUGAUGCAGCCAUGCCGCGUGUGUGAAGAAGGCCUUCGGGUUGUAAAGCACUUUCAGCGGGGAGGAAGGCGGUGAGGUCAAUAACCUCAUCGAUUGACGUUACCCGCAGAAGAAGCACCGGCUAACUCCGUGCCAGCAGCCGCGGUAAUACGGAGGGUGCAAGCGUUAAUCGGAAUUACUGGGCGUAAAGCGCACGCAGGCGGUCUGUCAAGUCGGAUGUGAAAUCCCCGGGCUCAACCUGGGAACUGCAUUCGGAACUGGCAGGCUAGAGUCUUGUAGAGGGGGGUAGAAUUCCAGGUGUAGCGGUGAAAUGCGUAGAGAUCUGGAGGAAUACCGGUGGCGAAGGCGGCCCCCUGGACAAAGACUGACGCUCAGGUGCGAAAGCGUGGGGAGCAAACAGGAUUAGAUACCCUAGUAGUC
rnacentral:rRNA from 1 species